AGCUGUGAGUGGUGGCAGUAUUGUAGCCAGUGAGAUUUAUCCAAGGUAUAAUUAUUGCUAAUUGAAAACUAUUUCUAAUACCCUACCAUGAUGACUUGAAACUUAGUCAGCAUUGGCAAUUUUUGACAGUUUCUCCAGAGA
ensembl:snRNA U4 U4 spliceosomal RNA